UACGGAGGGUGCAAGCGUUAUCCGGAUUCACUGGGUUUAAAGGGUGCGUAGGCGGGCAGGUAAGUCCGUGGUGAAAUCUCUGAGCUUAACUCAGAAACUGCCAUGGAUACUAUUUGUCUUGAAUAUUGUGGAGGUAAGCGGAAUAUGUCAUGUAGCGGUGAAAUGCUUAGAUAUGACAUAGAACACCAAUUGCGAAGGCAGCUUACUACACAGUUAUUGGCGCUGAGGCACGAAAGCGUGGGGAUCAAACAGG
rnacentral:rRNA from 1 species